UCGGGGGGGUGGGCGGAGCCAAGGGGCGGGGUCGAGUCCCGGAACUUCUGGGCUGAAUUCGCUUCCCCCAUCGCCGCACUCCCGGUGGGGAAGGGGCCGCAGCGCCCCCUGGACUCGGCUGCCGCUCCCUGCGGCGGAAGGACGUGAAAGCCACCUGCAGGCUCGGGACCCGGGCGCGCCAGGGCUGGUAUUCUGAGACCCACGCCGCCUAGGGCCCCGCAGAGUGAAUUUCCAGGUCUUCAGUAAAGGCGAACGAGGACGGAGCUCCCCCGACUUCCGGCGCUACCUGGGUGUGCGGUAGACUGGAACGAGCGUUUGGCUGAAGGAAGAGUGCGGGCGGGGGGUAGGGAGCUUGAGGUGGCUUUGGGGGCUUCUUGGUGCAGCGAGAAUGCAAAGGAUUAAACAGUUAAACAAGCAGGCAUACCGUGGUAAAUAAUGUCCGCCACCACCAACGACUACGUCUUCAGAACUUCCGUACCUGUAAUUCUAAUUACUACCAAGUACAUACUAUAAAUAAACCCAAUUGUCAUUUGCAUUAGAAGAUAAAGAUAGGAGAUUAUUGUGUGGAUCCCAGUGAAGCCGGAAUAAAGAUGUGAAGCCUUAAGAAAACAGUGGAAUAAAAAAAAAAAAUCUGCCCCCUGCAGGGAAUUAUUUUUUGUGUAUUUCUUACUCUUGAAAACAUGGGGGAGGAGUAUUUUAUUUCAUUUGGGGGGGGGAGGUAUUUUAGACACUGAUUUGUAGUGAGUGUAAUGCUUGUAUAUUGCUGUCCUGAUUCAAUGUUCCAAAAUUUAUUUUAAAAAUUUGUAGCAUCGGAUUAUUACAAUUACUCUUGGACGAUAAACCGGUAUAACAGGCACCACGCAAGACGCAUUUUGGACACUAGAGGGCACUGGUCUUUUUUCCCAAGAAAAAAGUAAGAAGAAAGAAUACAUAGCAUCGCACUUGUUGAUUUUUUUUUUAAGAUUGUAUUUUUAAGUAAUCUCUGCACCCAAGAGGAGGCUUUAACUCACAACCCGAGAUCAAGACUCCUAUGCUCUACCACUGAGCCAGCCAGCUCUAACACCGCUAUACCUCAGAAUGUGACUGUGUUUGGAGACAGGACCUUUAAAGAGAUUUCAUCUGACAGAGAGAGAGCACAAGCAGGGGGAGCAGCAGAGGGAGAGGGAAAAGCAGGCCCCCACUGAGCAGGGAGCCCAAUGCAAUGCGGGGCUUGAUCCCAGGACCCUGGGAUCAUGACCUGAGCCGAAGGCAGAUGCUUAACCAACUGAGCCACCAGGUGCCCCUGACUAGUGUCUUUAUAAGAAGAGGAAAUUUGGACACACAGGAUGUGCAUGCAUAGAGGGAUGAACGUGCAUGCCAUUUAUUUGCAAGCCAAGAGGGUAGCCAUUUAUUUGCAAGCCAAGGACAGAGAUCUCAGGAGAGAGUAACCCUGCAUGCACCUUGAUCUUGGACUUUCAGCCUCCAGAACUGUGACAAGUAAAUUUCUGUGGUUUAGGCCACCCGGUCUGUGGCAUUUUGUUAUGGCAGUCCUAGCAAACUAAUAUAAGCACGUAUUGAUCGUAGCUGAAGCCAAGGAAUUUAUGAGGUCAUGAGCUAGAAGUAUACAGUAAGAAGAAAAGUCUACCUCGGUGAGAAUUCUGUGGAAUACUUCACAUUUUUAAACAGCCAGGUGGAGGAAAAGUAGUUCCCAAAAGAGAAUGGCAAGGAUUGUCUGGGAGGUGGUAGAAAAAUCAGCACAGACUGAUGGGAACCAAAGAGAAAGUUUCCAAAAAGGAGGGGGUACUACAGAGAAGGCAAGGAAGACAAAGCCUGAAAAUAAUCUUGGCAAGUCGGUGGACCUCACAAAUGCACCUAAAGAAGAAUAAUUCUAUCAGAAUGAUUCUUAAUGAAGCCAUACUCUACGGGAUUGGCAUUUGAAUGGGAGGUGGGGAAAGGGAACAUAACUCUUUUAAGAAGAUUGACCAUGAAAUGAAGAAUCAUGCUCUAUAAAGUCUUAGCAUAAUUUUUAAUGACUGCAUAAUUGUCCAACAUUUGAUUGUGUUGCUUUCCUGUUGUGUUCAUUAGAAAUUUGUUUCCUUUUUAUUUAUUUAUUACUGUUUUAAAUAACUGAAAAAUAUAUUUCACUACAUUCUACUUUGCACUAGAAUCAGUUCCUUAGGCAUGAUUGCUAGAAUUGCAAUUGUUGGAUCAAGGAGUAUAAACAAUUUUAAGGCGCUUGUUAGAUCCAUCAAAUAAUUUUCUAGGAGGGAUAUACCUAUUUAUGCUUUCACGUGCAUGUAUGAGAGUGCCAAUUUCAUUACUUCCUAGACAGAACUGAAUUUCAUGAUUUUUAAAAACAUCUUUGUGUUCUCUACUAAAGGGAUCCUUACAGAACUAAUUCUAGACCUGGAGCAAGGAUAGUUCAAGCUGAAUCUGGUAUAUAUUAUUGGGUAAGAAGGUAAGGGGGAAAGGCAUGUCAAAUGUACAUGGGAGCUGCUUGAAGGGGCUCUCACUGGGCAAAUCAGGGAAACCUUGACUCAAAAAGAGUGGUGCAGUAAUGAAUCAUAAUAUACUGUAAAAAAAUCACGAGUCUGUACUGAUACUAUUAAAAAUAAACUGAGGCAUAUUACAAUUUUUGAGAGUUUAUUUGAGCAGGAAUUGGGCAUUGCCAAAUGUGAAAUGAUUGGAAGCACUACAAUGACAGGAGCUAGGGGAAAGACUUUUAUAGAGAAGAGGC